GACGAACCGUGCGAACGUUGUUCGGAAUCACUGGGCUUAAAGGGCGCGUAGGCGGGCGAGCGAGUCAGGGGUGAAAGCCCACGGCCCAACCGUGGAAGUGCCUUUGAUACUGCUCGUCUGGAGGGAGGUAGGGGCGUGCGGAACUUCCGGUGGAGCGGUGAAAUGCGUAGAUAUCGGAAGGAACACCGGUGGCGAAAGCGGCGCGCUGGACCUCUUCUGACGCUGAGGCGCGAAAGCCAGGGGAGCAAACAGG
rnacentral:rRNA from 1 species